AAAUACAAAUGAAGAUGCUCUCAAAUUUUGAUGAAUGCAAUAUCUUUAGGAGGGAAAAAAACCUUAUAAAUUGAUACACAAUCCAUGACCAUUAGGCAAACUCAGAAGUCAAUUUAUUUAACUUCCCCUAUCAAACCAUUCGUAAUCGAUGAAGAUAAUCUCCAACCAAUUAAGGGCUCAAGUGAGUGAAACUAAAUUUCCAACAAUUUUGUUGUUAAAUCAUAGCAACAACAAAAAUCCGACCAAACUUCUGCAAAAUCUUGGUACCUUGAAAUGAAAAGGAUACAUUGAGUGCACAAUAAUUUCCAAUUCCACCUCUUCUAGAUUUUAGAAGAUCUUUCAAACAUUGUUCACAUAGAGAAAGUCCUAAAAUUAGGGGAUAUGUUGUUGGCUUGGUGGCUGAAGUUAGGGAGUGGACUAAUAAGGAGAUUGAGGGUUCCACCCCACCUUCGACAAAAUACUAACAAUAUUAAUAAUACUAAUUAGUAACAUUGACAAUUGAAAAACAAAAAAAAAAAACCUAAAAUAGAUACUUAAUUCUCUUCACAAAUAGCUUAUAGGCAAGACAGAGAAGUACACCAAAUUUAAAGCUGGCGUAGAACAGAACUUGCUAGUGUUUUGAUUUCUCAAAAACGGUUGUGAAAAUUAACUAACCAAAUACUCUAGUCAUAAUAAUUCAUAAACAAGAAAAAAAGUGUAAGAUUCAUAUUCAAACAUGAAGAACAAAAAAAAAGUUCAGUUCAAUCUCACAGCACAGUUAUUUUAAGCUCAUUCCAGAUCUAGAACGCUGAAUUAAGAGUAAAGUGUUUGUUUCAGCUUUAAUUUAGUUUAACUCUCACACAGUAAAGAAAUGAAAAGUUUCAAGAGUGGAAAAUGCUUAAGGCUAAUGCAGAAGCUGAGGAACAGUGUACUCAUAAGCAAGAACUGAAAAUAUACAAAUUAAAAAUAAAAAUAAAAAGAAUAGUUGAAAAUGCUUUUUAUUUGAAGUUUGAAGCUAAACAAACAGAAGUUAACUUACAGUUAGAGAUUGGAAGAGUAGCGCCAUUAGAGAGAAUGAAAAAGUUGGUCAAAACGGUGAAGUGCUUAAAUGAAGAAACAUGCGAAGAACAACACACACAGUUUAAGGCGACACAACAAAAUGUGCUUUCUUUAGUUUUGGUAAUGUCACCUGCAUUAACCAAACAAUGCAUAAAAUGUAUUACAAUCAAAAAAAUGUGAAAACACUCAAAUAUUAACUUAAAUAUUUUUUCUUGAAUUUAAAUUUAAA
rnacentral:lncRNA from 1 species